GAUGAACGCUGGCGGCGUGCCUAAUACAUGCAAGUCGAGCGAACGGACGAGAAGCUUGCUUCUCUGAUGUUAGCGGCGGACGGGUGAGUAACACGUGGAUAACCUACCUAUAAGACUGGGAUAACUUCGGGAAACCGUAGCUAAUACCGGAUAAUAUUUUGAACCGCAUGGUUCAAAAGUGAAAGACGGUCUUUCUGUCACUUAUAGAUGGAUCCGCGCUGCAUUAGCCAGUUGGUAAGGUAACGGCUUACCAAGGCAACGAUGCAUAGCCGACCUGAGAGGGUGAUCAGCCACACUGGAACUGAGACACGGUCCGGACUCCUACGGGAGGCAGCAGUAGGGAAUCUUCCGCAAUGGGCGAAAGCCUGACGGAGCAACGCCGCGUGAGUGAUGAAGGUCUUCGGAUCGUAAAACUCUGUUAUUAGGGAAGAACAUAUGUGUAAGUAACUGUGCACAUCUUGACGGUACCUAAUCAGAAAGCCACGGCUAACUACGUG
rnacentral:rRNA from 1 species